UACGUAGGGGGCAAGCGUUGUCCGGAUUUAUUGGGCGUAAAGAGCGUGUAGGCGGCCAGACAGGUCCACUGUGAAAACUCGAGGCUCAACCUCGAGAGGUCGGUGGAAACCGUCUGGCUAGAGUCCGGAAGAGGAGAGUGGAAUUCCCGGUGUAGCGGUGAAAUGCGCAGAUAUCGGGAAGAACACCCGUGGCGAAGGCGGGCUACUCUAGUACGGUACUGACGCUGAGACGCGAAAGCGUGGGGAGCGAACAGG
rnacentral:rRNA from 1 species